rnacentral:misc_RNA from 1 species
GGACAUUAAUGAACAAAUUAAGUAUUUAUUUUUGAAGCUGCAAAUAUGCUCUGUUCAGAGCUGAAAUAAGCUUUUUACCAAAUAAAGUUAUGACAAAUUUUGGUUAUGAACCCAUGGACGAUUGAACAAUUAAAUAAACAAAGAAAAAUGUAAAAAGCUGAUCAUAUAAAGUCUAUUGGAAUUGUUACUGAGAUUGGUCAUAGUAUGUUAGCCAAGGGGCUUGCAUACCUGGGAAGGUCUUGCAUAAAGAUGAAGAACCAAGCAGGAAGCCUACAUGACCUUGGAAUCACCAGAAGAACAAACUGGAAACUUAAUAAAAAUAGGAACCAACAAAAUGAUGGUGACAUCAUGGGCUAUGAAACCUGUCCAGAAAGUUCCAUUUAACCUGCAACCGUAGGCCAUAU